rnacentral:rRNA from 1 species
GAUGAACGCUGGCGGCGUGCCUAAUACAUGCAAGUCGAGCGAACGGACGAGAAGCUUGCUUCUCUGAUGUUAGCCGCGGACGGGUGAGUAACACGUGUAUACCCUACCUAUAAGACUGGUAUAACUUCGGGAAACCGUAUCUAAUACCGGAUAAUAUUUUGAACCGCAUGGUUCAAAAGUGAAAGACGGUCUUGCUGGCACUUAUAGAUGGAUCCGCGCUGGAUUGGCUAGUUGGUAAGGUAACGGCUUACCAAGGCAACGAUGCAUUGCCGACCUGAGGGGGUGGUCGGCCACAUGGGAGGUGAGACAGGGACCAGAGUCCUACGGGAGGCAGCAGUAGGGAAUCGUCCGCAAUGGGCGAAAGCCUGACGGAGCAACGCCGCGUGAGUGAUGAAGGUCUUCGGAUCGUAAAACUGUGUUAUUAGGGAAGAACAUAUGUGUAAGUAACUGUGGAGAUCUUGACGGUACCUAAUAAGAAAGCCACGGCUAACUACGUG